ACAUAUCGUAGAUUCUUACAAUUUUUAUUACACAUCGUUUGAUGUCCGAAACGCCGGCAUCCUCUGUGUCCUCUCCCCCCGAACAUUCCAGAGUUGUCUCUUGUUCCAACUAAAAAAAGAGGAGGAAACGUAGCAGUUGCCUAACACGACCUCUGUGUCUAUCACUCUCUGCUUCUUCUUGCAAGAACAAAAAAGUGAUAUAAUUUCACUGAGGUUGAUAAUAGAGAACGUGGGGACCCUGAGAAAAUGGAACAAACAAAGAUGCUAAAGCAAUGAAAAGAAACCAAAGUUAAUUUCAAGUACCUGGUUCUUUUCACCAGUUGUGGGUUCACAUUCGAUCCCUGUCUUUUCUUUCUCUUACCCAUUCCGCACUUCUUUUUUCUCUUCCUUUCUUAAUCUUGAUCAAGACAGUUCGUUCAUAUUUCUUUCCCUAGUGUUACGAUCAAGCUCGAUGCAAGUUUAGAUAUAUUCUGAAUGAUGGCAUUCAAGAGUUUGCCUCUCUAAUUAAUCUUCUUUUUAAGUGAAUCCUUCUUGGGUUAUCCGCUUGCUCUGUCAGAAUCAAAAGCAGCCAUUUCCAGCAUGAAAAGAUUGAAGGGGCGUGUAAGAUGGAAUGAAGCUAAUCUCAGUGAAAUUGAAGCAAAUAAAGUAGUAAGGAAAAAAAUCGAUGAACCUAAAACACCAUAUCAUCCAAUGAUUGAAGAAGAUGGUAAGGUUUUCCUUCUGCUACACCAGGUACUGCUAAAACCAUUGACUAUGCUGCACAUGCUGAAGCCCUAAGGAAUGCUCUAAGUAAAGUUGCUCUGAGUCAAAAGCACUUUAGUCCUUUUGGGGGAUGGGCAUCGUCUGGUGAAGAGGGUGAAACAGGGGAGAAAGAUCAAGGUUUUGCAAAGCAAAGAGAUGAUGCGAGCUUUACGGAGAGCAGGAGAGCACAUUAUGACGAGUUCAAGAAAGUGAAAGAACUGCAACAAGAGCUCUGCUUUCUCAAUGAUGAGCACAAUAAAGGAAUACAUAACUCUGGUUCGUGUUCGAGUCUUAGUAUCAAAGCAAGAGAAAUACAUAUAGAGGAUAGUGAUGAAAUUCUGCGAAUAAUUGACAUUGAGGAAUAUUGAUGAUCUGAGUUUCCCUCAACAACCACAUUUGCUUAUCUUGAAAGCCUCAUCAAAACCUAGCAAUCAUGGUUAGCCAUUUGUUGAAAGAUUUUGUUAAUGAUA